rnacentral:lncRNA from 1 species
CCCUUCCAUGCGUGCACUCUCUCUCUUCCCCUCCCUGCCCUUGCCUCCUUGCGUCUGCAUAAAGAAGAGGUUAUAUGGGCACAUUGUGAGAUGGUGGCCUCCCAUGAGCCAAGAAAAGAGGGCUUAAAAUGAAUCCUACCUGGCUGGCACCUUGAUCUUGGACUUCCUAGCAUCCAGAAAUGUGACAUGGUUUUCUGGUGCCUUGGCAACUGCUCACGAUGCAUGGGAAGACUAAACACUUUGUGUACAGCAUUCUGUCUCAUCCAGUGAAGACUUCCUCUGGAUUAUUGCAGCAGACACCUCUAACCUCCUUAAUCUGUGGCUAAGCAAGGCUGUCCUUGGUGUGGCUUGCAGACUGAAUUCAGCCAGCAUGGUGCUAUUUGAUUUUACUUACAACAAACAAACAACUGUUCAGAUUAUUAGACAAUGGAAUGGGAAUACCUUUGGAGUCACAAUUUCUCCAAUUCGCCAUGUCUCUCUGUUGCUCUACAACUGUAAGGAGAGAAAAAUAAUUAGAAGAAGAGUCUCCCUCAAUAGAGAGGCAGACAUACACACCUGGUGAUCAUCACUGUGGUCCUGCCCACCCUGGCACAGGUGGGUCAGACAAACCUGGUCUGAUUCUGAUUUACUUUGCCUGAGGGAGUUAACAAAGGUUUCAGAGA